GGAGGGCCUGUCAAGCCCAACCAAAGAUGUAUGCAUAGAAUGGAGGGGAAAAGGUUGCAAGAGACAAAUUCAGGGAAGUAGCCUGUCCUGACUGCCAGGGCCUGGUUUGUGAGUUAAGACGUUUGCGCAUAUGCCUGCUGGCAGUGAGAAACCAAAGAACUAGUGAUGAAAACAUUGGUGGAAUGGAGGAUGAACUAAGGGAGAAGACUGAGGAUAGGGCAGUCAGAAAGGUGUUGAAAACUGUGUGCAGAGGAUGAGGAAAGCAUAUUUAAUGACACAAAUAAGGGAGAAAAGCAUGGUUUAAAUAGCAUGUGUAAUGUGUUCUCAUUUUUUAUAACCAUUCCCCAGGAAUCAGCUCAAAGGGCAGAGGCCAUCAAAAUAUUAACAUGGACUAUAUUAAAAACAUUCAGAAUAUUUUCA
rnacentral:lncRNA from 1 species